CUGCAGCCCUUUAAGCCAAUGCAGCUUCCAUCCCGAUGGGGCAUGGUGUAAAACAGCUGCCGACAGCAGCCUCCUAGGUUGCAUAUGCAGCCUGUGGUCUGCACAGGUGGCUCUAAUGGACACUGGAGAUGGUC
ensembl:snoRNA SNORA70 Small nucleolar RNA SNORA70